rnacentral:piRNA from 1 species
UGUCGUUCGUUGCUGGAGCACGGCUCCGAU